rnacentral:tRNA from 1 species
GUCCCUGUGGCUCAGUUGGUAGAGCAUGGUGUGUGCAACGCCAGGGUUGUGGGUACGAAUCCCAUGGGGGGCC